rnacentral:rRNA from 1 species
GACGGAGGAUGCAAGCGUUAUCCGGAAUUAUUGGGCGUAAAGCGUCCGUAGGCGGUUUCAAAAGUCUGUUGUUAAAGCCCACAGCUCAACUGUGGAUCGGCAAUGGAAACUGUGAGACUAGAGAGUGGUAGGGGUAGAGGGAAUUCCUAGUGUAGCGGUGGAAUGCGCAGAUAUCAGGAGGAACACCGAUGGCGAAGGCAGAUCUCUGGGCCGUAACUGACGCUGAGGAGCGAAAGCAUGGGGAGCGAACAGG